GAUGAACGCUGGCGGCGUGCCUAAUACAUGCAAGUCGAGCGAAUGGAUUAAGAGCUUGCUCUUAUGAAGUUAGCGGCGGACGGGUGAGUAACACGUGGGUAACCUGCCCAUAAGACUGGGAUAACUCCGGGAAACCGGGGCUAAUACCGGAUAAUAUUUUGAACUGCAUGGUUCGAAAUUGAAAGGUGGCUUCGGCUGUCACUUAUGGAUGGACCCGCGUCGCAUUAGCUAGUUGGUGAGGUAACGGCUCACCAAGGCAACGAUGCGUAGCCGACCUGAGAGGGUGAUCGGCCACACCGGGACUGAGACACGGCCCAGACUCCUACGGGAGGCAGCAGUAGGGAAUCUUCCGCAAUGGACGAAAGUCUGACGGAGCAACGCCGCGUGAGUGAUGAAGGCUAUCGGGUCGUAAAACUCUGUUGUUAGGGAAGAACAAGUGCUAGUUGAAUAAGCUGGCACCUUGACGGUACCUAACCAGAAAGCCACGGCUAACUACGUGCCAGCCGCCGCAGUAA
rnacentral:rRNA from 1 species